GACGAACGCUGGCGGCGUGCUUAACACAUGCAAGUCGAGCGGUAAGGCCCUUUCGGGGUACGACGAGCGGCGAACGGGUGAGUAACACGUGGGUGACCUGCCCUCAGCUCUGGGAUAAGCCUCGGGAAACCGGGUCGUAAUACUGGAGUAUGACUCCAUGACGCAUGUUGUGGGGUGGAAAGCCUUGUGCGGCUGAGGAU
rnacentral:rRNA from 1 species